rnacentral:rRNA from 1 species
AUGGCCAGCCGGCAAAGAGGCAUGUUUGCUUCUCAGGGAUUAGCACUAGGAGGAGUUGCCUGUGGACUUGAUGAAGCAAGCAGCUGUGGUGUUGUUCAGUGGGACAAUAUUCCCAAGGAAAAUGAAGUCCAACAAGGUGAACAUGAGGAGAUCACUCCUCCUUUGGACAACAAUAUUUCAGCUUUGAAGGAACAGCUGGGUGUAAUGGAUGCUGAGAACAAAGAACUGAAGCAAAAGGUUGACCAGUUGAGGAGCAUUCAGGUUGCCCAAGGUAAUGUGAUUAGGAAUCUGAAGUUUGCUCAUUUGAAGGAAAAGGAAAAGUUGAGCACUGAGAGGAUGAAUUUAGUUUCAGAUUGCUGA